AGAGUUUGAUCCUGGCUCAGAUUGAACGCUGGCGGCAUGCCUUACACAUGCAAGUCGAACGGUAACGCGGGGCAACCUGGCGACGAGUGGCGAACGGGUGAGUAACGCAUCGGAACGUGCCCAGUAGUGGGGGAUAGUCCGGCGAAAGCCGGAUUAAUACCGCAUACGACCUACGGGUGAAAGCGGGGGACCGUAAGGCCUCGCGCUAUUGGAGCGGCCGAUGUCAGAUUAGGUAGUUGGUGGGGUAAAAGCCUACCAAGCCGACGAUCUGUAGCUGGUCUGAGAGGACGACCAGCCACACUGGGACUGAGACACGGCCCAGACUCCUACGGGAGGCAGCAGUGGGGAAUUUUGGACAAUGGGCGCAAGCCUGAUCCAGCCAUGCCGCGUGCGGGAUGAAGGCCUUCGGGUUGUAAACCGCUUUUGUCAGGGAAGAAACGCUCCGGGCCAAUACCCUGGGGUAAUGACGGUACCUGAAGAAUAAGCACCGGCUAACUACGUGCCAGCAGCCGCGGUAAUACGUAGGGUGCAAGCGUUAAUCGGAAUUACUGGGCGUAAAGCGUGCGCAGGCGGUUUUGU
rnacentral:rRNA from 1 species